AGAGUUUGAUCCUGGCUCAGGAUGAACGCUGGCGGCGUGCUUAACACAUGCAAGUCGAACGAACCUUCGGGUUAGUGGCGGACGGGUGAGUAACGCGUGAGAAUCUGCCCUCAGGAGGGGGAUAACGGUUGGAAACGACCGCUAAUACCCCAUAUGCCUACUGGUGAAAUGAAUUUCGCCUGAGGAUGAGCUCGCGUCUGAUUAGCUAGUUGGUGAGGUAAUGGCUCACCAAGGCUUCGAUCAGUAGCUGGUCUGAGAGGAUGAUCAGCCACACUGGGACUGAGACACGGCCCAGACUCCUACGGGAGGCAGCAGUGGGGAAUUUUCCGCAAUGGGCGAAAGCCUGACGGAGCAACGCCGCGUGAGGGACGAAGGCCUCUGGGCUGUAAACCUCUUUUCUCAAGGAAGAAGAUAUGACGGUACUUGAGGAAUAAGCCACGGCUAAUUCCGUGCCAGCAGCCGCGGUAAUACGGGAGUGGCAAGCGUUAUCCGGAGUUAUUGGGCGUAAAGCGUCCGCAGGCGGCUUUUCAAGUCUGCUGUUAAAGCGUGGAGCUUAACUCCAUCAUGGCAGUGGAAACUGAAAGGCUUGAGUAUGGUAGGGGCAGAGGGAAUUCCCGGUGUAGCGGUGAAAUGCGUAGAUAUCGGGAAGAACACCAGUGGCGAAGGCGCUCUGCUGGGCCAUUACUGACGCUCAUGGACGAAAGCCAGGGGAGCGAAAGGGAUUAGAUACCCCUGUAGUCCUGGCCGUAAACGAUGAACACUAGGUGUCGGGGGGAAUCGACCCCUUCGGUGUCGUAGCUAACGCGUUAAGUGUUCCGCCUGGGGAGUACGCACGCAAGUGUGAAACUCAAAGGGAAUUGACGGGGGGCCCGCA
rnacentral:rRNA from 1 species